GCAGGGGAGUGGCAGACGGGUGAGUAACGCGUGGGAAUCUACCCAUCUCUGCGGAAUAGCUCUGGGAAACUGGAAUUAAUACCGCAUACGCCCUACGGGGGAAAGAUUUAUCGGGGAUGGAUGAGCCCGCGUUGGAUUAGCUAGUUGGUGGGGUAAAGGCCUACCAAGGCGACGAUCCAUAGCUGGUCUGAGAGGAUGAUCAGCCAUAUUGGGACUGAGACACGACCCAAACUUAUACGGGAGGCAGCAGUGGGGAAUAUUGGACAAUGGGCGCAAGCCUGAUCCAGCCAUGCCGCGUGAGUGAUGAAGGCCUUAGGGCUGUCAAGCUCUUUCACCGGGGAAGAUGAUGAUGGAAACCGCAGA
rnacentral:rRNA from 1 species